AAGGUGACCAACUGUCCUAGUUUGCCUGGGACUGAGAUUAUUACAGGGAUAUAGGACUUUCAGAUUAAAACAGUAUUCCUGGACA
rnacentral:miRNA from 1 species